rnacentral:rRNA from 1 species
UUAAGCGACUAAGCGUACACGGUGGAUGCCCUGGCAGUCAGAGGCGAUGAAGGACGUGCUAAUCUGCGAAAAGCGUCGGUAAGGUGAUAUGAACCGUUAUAACCGGCGAUGUCCGAAUGGGGAAACCCAGUGCAAUUCGUUGCACUAUCGUUAACUGAAUACAUAGGUUAACGAGGCGAACCGGGGGAACUGAAACAUCUAAGUACCCCGAGGAAAAGAAAUCAACCGAGAUUCCCCCAGUAGCGGCGAGCGAACGGGGAGCAGCCCAGAGUCUGAAUCAGCUUGUGUGUUAGUGGAACGGUCUGGAAAGUCCGACGGUACAGGGUGAUAGUCCCGUACACCAAAAUGCACAGGCUGUGAACUCGAAGAGUAGGGCGGGACACGUGGUAUCCUGUCUGAAUAUGGGGACCAUCCUCCAAGGCUAAAUACUCCUGACUGACCGAUAGUGAACCAGUACCGUGAGGGAAAGGCGAAAAGAACCCCGGCGAGGGGAGUGAAAAAGAACCUGAAACCGUGUACGUACAAGCAGUGGGAGCACCUUCGGGUGUGACUGCGUACCUUUUGUAUAAUGGGUCAGCGACUUAUAUUCUGUAGCAAGGUUAACCGUAUAGGGGAGCCGCAGGGAAACCGAGUCUUAACUGGGCGUUAAGUUGCAGGGUAUAGACCCGAAACCCGGUGAUCUAGCCAUGGGCAGGUUGAAGGUUGGGUAACACUAACUGGAGGACCGAACCGACUAAUGUUGAAAAAUUAGCGGAUGACUUGUGGCUGGGGGUGAAAGGCCAAUCAAACCGGGAGAUAGCUGGUUCUCCCCGAAAGCUAUUUAGGUAGCGCCUCGUGAAUUCAUCUUCGGGGGUAGAGCACUGUUUCGGCUAGGGGGUCAUCCCGACUUACCAACCCGAUGCAAACUACGAAUACCGAAGAAUGUUAUCACGGGAGACACACGGCGGGUGCUAACGUCCGUCGUGAAGAGGGAAACAACCCAGACCGCCAGCUAAGGUCCCAAAGUCAUGGUUAAGUGGGAAACGAUGUGGGAAGGCACAGACAGCCAGGAUGUUGGCUUAGAAGCAGCCAUCAUUUAAAGAAAGCGUAAUAGCUCACUGGUCGAGUCGGCCUGCGCGGAAGAUGUAACGGGGCUAAACCAUGCACCGAAGCUGCGGCAGCGACACUAUGUGUUGUUGGGUAGGGGAGCGUUCUGUAAGCCUGCGAAGGUGACCUGUGAGGGUUGCUGGAGGUAUCAGAAGUGCGAAUGCUGACAUAAGUAACGAUAAAGCGGGUGAAAAGCCCGCUCGCCGGAAGACCAAGGGUUCCUGUCCAACGUUAAUCGGGGCAGGGUGAGUCGACCCCUAAGGCGAGGCCGAAAGGCGUAGUCGAUGGGAAACAGGUUAAUAUUCCUGUACUUGGUGUUACUGCGAAGGGGGGACGGAGAAGGCUAUGUUAGCCGGGCGACGGUUGUCCCGGUUUAAGCAUGUAGGCUGGUUAUCCAGGCAAAUCCGGAUAAUCAAGGCUGAGGUGUGAUGACGAGGCACUACGGUGCUGAAGUAACAAAUGCCCUGCUUCCAGGAAAAGCCUCUAAGCAUCAGGUAACAUCAAAUCGUACCCCAAACCGACACAGGUGGUCAGGUAGAGAAUACCAAGGCGCUUGAGAGAACUCGGGUGAAGGAACUAGGCAAAAUGGUGCCGUAACUUCGGGAGAAGGCACGCUGGUGUAGGUGAAGUCCCUGCGGAUGGAGCUGAGACCAGUCGAAGAUACCAGCUGGCUGCAACUGUUUAUUAAAAACACAGCACUGUGCAAACACGAAAGUGGACGUAUACGGUGUGACGCCUGCCCGGUGCCGGAAGGUUAAUUGAUGGGGUUAUCCGUAAGGAGAAGCUCUUGAUCGAAGCCCCGGUAAACGGCGGCCGUAACUAUAACGGUCCUAAGGUAGCGAAAUUCCUUGUCGGGUAAGUUCCGACCUGCACGAAUGGCGUAAUGAUGGCCAGGCUGUCUCCACCCGAGACUCAGUGAAAUUGAACUCGCUGUGAAGAUGCAGUGUACCCGCGGCAAGACGGAAAGACCCCGUGAACCUUUACUAUAGCUUGACACUGAACAUUGAGCCUUGAUGUGUAGGAUAGGUGGGAGGCUUUGAAGCGUGGACGCCAGUCUGCGUGGAGCCAACCUUGAAAUACCACCCUUUAAUGUUUGAUGUUCUAACGUUGGCCCCUUACCGGGGUUGCGGACAGUGUCUGGUGGGUAGUUUGACUGGGGCGGUCUCCUCCCAAAGCGUAACGGAGGAGCACGAAGGUUAGCUAAUCCUGGUCGGACAUCAGGAGGUUAGUGCAAUGGCAUAAGCUAGCUUGACUGCGAGCGUGACGGCGCGAGCAGGUGCGAAAGCAGGUCAUAGUGAUCCGGUGGUUCUGAAUGGAAGGGCCAUCGCUCAACGGAUAAAAGGUACCCGGGGAUAACAGGCUGAUACCGCCCAAGAGUUCAUAUCGACGGCGGUGUUUGGCACCUCGAUGUCGGCUCAUCACAUCCUGGGGCUGAAGUAGGUCCCAAGGGUAUGGCUGUUCGCCAUUUAAAGUGGUACGCGAGCUGGGUUUAGAACGUCGUGAGACAGUUCGGUCCCUAUCUGCCGUGGGCGCUGGAGAAUUGAGGGGGGCUGCUCCUAGUACGAGAGGACCGGAGUGGACGCAUCACUGGUGUUCGGGUUGUCAUGCCAAUGGCACUGCCCGGUAGCUAAAUGCGGAAGAGAUAAGUGCUGAAAGCAUCUAAGCACGAAACUUGCCCCGAGAUGAGUUCUCCCUGAGACUUUAAGUCUCCUGAAGGAACGUUGAAGACGACGACGUUGAUAGGCCGGGUGUGUAAGCGCAGCGAUGCGUUGAGCUAACCGGUACUAAUGAACCGUGAGGCUUAACCU